UUUUUUUUUUUGUAAUUUGGGAAUUGAAGUGCCCCUUCUCUAUAGGCAUUUAUAUCAUGUAAAGGAAAUAUAUUGGGAUUCCUUACACUUUAUUGAAAUAAAAUCUAGAUCUCAUAGACUAAAUAAGUGACUUUUUACUUGAUGACUUUGACUAUCAUUUGUUUGGUUGGGUGAUUCAUCUCUAAAAUAAUUGUAGAACAUAACAUUUG
rnacentral:lncRNA from 1 species